rnacentral:rRNA from 1 species
CUCCUACGGGAGGCUGCAGUAAGGAAUAUUGGUCAAUGGACGCAAGUCUGAACCAGCCAUGCCGCGUGAAGGAUGAAGGCCCUCCGGGUUGUAAACUUCUUUUACAGGGGACGAAAAAGGGUCUUUCCAGAUCAACUGACGGUACCCUGGGAAUAAGCACCGGCUAACUCCGUGCCAGCAGCCGCGGUAAUACGGAGGGUGCAAGCGUUAUCCGGAUUCACUGGGUUUAAAGGGUGCGUAGGUGGGCUUGUAAGUCAGUGGUGAAAUCUCCGGGCUUAACCCGGAAACUGCCAUUGAUACUACAGGUCUUGAAUUAUCCGGAGGUAAGCGGAAUAUGUCAUGUAGCGGUGAAAUGCUUAGAUAUGACAUAGAACACCAAUUGCGAAGGCAGCUUACUACAGAUUGAUUGACACUGAGGCACGAAAGCGUGGGGAUCAAACAGGAUUAGAUACCCUGGUAGUCCACGCCCUAAACGAUGGAUACUCGACAUUUACGAUAUACUGCAAGUGUCUGAGCGAAAGCAUUA